CAGUCGCCGCGGUAAUACGAAGGGGGCUAGCGUUGCUCGGAAUGACUGGGCGUAAAGGGCGCGUAGGCGGAUUGUUUAGUUAGGCGUGAAAUUCCUGGGCUUAACCUGGGGACUGCGCUUAAUACAGGCAGUCUAGAGUGAGGAAGAGGGUUGUGGAAUUCCCAGUGUAGAGGUGAAAUUCGUAGAUAUUGGGAAGAACACCGGUGGCGAAGGCGGCAACCUGGUCCUUGACUGACGCUGAGGCGCGAAAGCGUGGGGAGCAAACAGGAUUAGAUACCCGAGUAGUCCCUGUCUCUUAUAC
rnacentral:rRNA from 1 species